AACUGAAAACAGGAUCAAUCAGAUACACCGGGUAACAAGUUCCUUGGAAUAGGACAUCAUGGAGGGUGAGAAUCCCGUCUUUGACCCGAGACUUGGUAUCUUUUGUAUUGGCCUGUUCAAGAGUCAGGUUGUUUGGGAAUGCAGCCUAAAGCUGGAGGUAAAUCCCUCCUGAAGCUAAAUAAUGGCGAGAGACCGAUAGCGAACAAGUACCGUGAGGGAAAGAUGAAAAGAACUCUGAAGAGAGAGUUAAACAGUACGUGAAAUUGCUUAAAGGGAAGCAUAUAAAGCUAGGAUGCGAUUGUUUUCUUCAGGUUGAGCUUUGGCUUGACUGUUUAGAAGGAUAAUCCGAGACAACAAGAAUUGGAAGAGAAGAAUAAGCCGUGAGGGAAGGUAAUCCUUCGGGAUGUUUAUAGACCUUGCGGUUCGCGCUUUUCUUUCGAUUGAGGAAUGCUGUAACAGGUUGUUGUCUGAAUGGCUUUAUAUGGCCCGUCUUGAAACACGGACCAAGGAGUCCACCUAAUGUGCGAGUAUUUGGGAGGUAAACCCAUAUGCGCAAUGAAAGUGAUUUUUUGCCUAUGAGGGGGUCCCUUGGGGCCUCUGCAAUAGGGUCGGGCAGGGACGUUUUAUACUGAACUGACUCAGACAAAGCACAUUGGAUGGGACCCGAAAGAUGGUGAACUAUGCUUGGAUAGGGUGAAGCCAAAGGAAACUUUGGUGGAGGCUCGUAGCGAUUCUGACGUGCAAAUCGAUCGUCGAAUCUGAGCAUAGGGGCGAAAGACUAAUCGAACCAUCUAGUAG
rnacentral:rRNA from 1 species